UCGCAAUCAUCAGGAAACGGUUCCGCUGUUCAGGCGGAUGAAAAGGGAACACGGUGAAGCCAUUCGGGCUGAUGCCGCGACUGCCCCCGCAACUGUAACCGGAGAGCUAUCCUCCACAGCCGUGCAAGCGGUGAAAGCCACUGAAAGCUAUCGUGCGAUCGGGAAGGCGGCGGAAAAGCGAUGACCCGGAAGUCAGGAGACCUGCCGUAUCCGGUCACCCAUG
rnacentral:ncRNA from 2 species